rnacentral:lncRNA from 1 species
GGGCUGCCCUCACCCCUGAUGUUAUCAGUCCUUGUGUCAAGUCCCACUUCCUGCCCUGGGCUCCUCAGUGUAGGCUACCAAGGUACUUCCCAGCUGAAGCAGUAUAAGAAGGGGCCAGCCCUGAGUGAACAUCGUGGGUCAUUUAGGCAUGGAGGAGUUGAUGGGGGCUACCCAAAGCAGGGCAAGCUCCAUGAGGAUAUUGGUAGCCACAGUGCCUCCUAGAGGAAGAGACCUGGGUGCC